GCCCCCGUUGUCUAAUGGCUAUGACGUCAGACUUCUAGGGCAUUUCAUCCCUUCAAUCUGGAGGUUGCGGGUUCGAGUCCCGCCGGGGGUA
rnacentral:tRNA from 1 species